AAAUUGAAGAGUUUGAUCAUGGCUCAGAUUGAACGCUGGCGGCAGGCCUAACACAUGCAAGUCGAACGGUAACAGGAAGAAGCUUGCUUCUUUGCUGACGAGUGGCGGACGGGUGAGUAAUGUCUGGGAAACUGCCUGAUGGAGGGGGAUAACUACUGGAAACGGUAGCUAAUACCGCAUAACGUCG
rnacentral:rRNA from 1 species